rnacentral:lncRNA from 1 species
CCCGGCAUUGGCGUUGAGGGUUCUCGUGACAGUCAUUGUUAUCCUCACCCAGAACGUCAUUCACAGCAUACAUCGACGAACCUUGGGUGUGCUAAACAUACUCAAAAAUUUAUAUAUCCCAAAGAUUGGCCUGAGAGGGGUAAAGUACUGGGGUGGUAAUGGGCUAAAGAUAUAAACAUCAUUGAUGAUCUCGGAUCCGAAUGAACAGAACUGAACCAGGAAUCUUUAACUAAUAUGCAUAGCUUGAUGAGCCCGAAAAAUAAUUAUCUACCCUCAAAUUCGAAUGAUGAGAACUACCCCC